rnacentral:rRNA from 1 species
GUACACUCCUACGGGAGGCAGCAGUGGGGAAUUUUGGACAAUGGGCGAAAGCCUGAUCCAGCAAUGCCGCGUGAGUGAAGAAGGCCUUCGGGUUGUAAAGCUCUUUUGUCAGGGAAGAAACGGUGAGAGCUAAUAUCUCUUGCUAAUGACGGUACCUGAAGAAUAAGCACCGGCUAACUACGUGCCAGCAGCCGCGGUAAUACGUAGGGUGCAAGCGUUAAUCGGAAUUACUGGGCGUAAAGCGUGCGCAGGCGGUUUUGUAAGUCUGAUGUGAAAUCCCCGGGCUCAACCUGGGAAUUGCAUUGGAGACUGCAAGGCUAGAAUCUGGCAGAGGGGGGUAGAAUUCCACGUGUAGCAGUGAAAUGCGUAGAUAUGUGGAGGAACACCGAUGGCGAAGGCAGCCCCCUGGGUCAAGAUUGACGCUCAUGCACGAAAGCGUGGGGAGCAAACAGGAUUAGAAACCUGGUAGUCCCAUG